rnacentral:rRNA from 1 species
GUUGACCUCGGAUCAGGUAGGGAUACCCGCUGAACUUAAGCAUAUCAAUAAGCGGAGGAAAAGAAACCAACAGGGAUUGCCCCAGUAACGGCGAGUGAAGCGGCAACAGCUCAAAUUUGAAAUCUGGCCCUCGGGUCCGAGUUGUAAUUUGAAGAGGAUGCUUUUGGUGCGGUGCCUUCCGAGUUCCCUGGAACGGGACGCCAUAGAGGGUGAGAGCCCCGUCUGGUUGGAUGCCAAACCUCUGUAAAGCUCCUUCGACGAGUCGAGUAGUUUGGGAAUGCUGCUCAAAAGGGAGGUAUAUUCUAAAAAG